rnacentral:rRNA from 1 species
ACGGAAGGCAGCAGUGAGGAAUAUUGGUCAAUGGACGGGAGUCUGAACCAGCCAAGUAGCGUGAGGGAUGACGGCCAUAUGGUUGUAAACUUCUUUUGCGAGGGAAUAAAGUGCGUCACGUGUGGUGCAUUGCAUGUACCUUGCGAAUAAGGAUCGGCUAACUCCGUGCCAGCAGCCGCGGUAAUACGGAGGAUCCGAGCGUUAUCCGGAUUUAUUGGGUUUAAAGGGAGCGUAGGCGGGAAGUCAAGUCAGCUGUGAAAUGUAGUCGCUCAACGUCUGCACUGCAGUUGAAACUGGUUUUCUUGAGUGCGUAAGAGGCAGGUGGAAUUUGUCGUGUAGCGGUGAAAUGCUUAGAUAUGACGAAGGACUCCGAUUGCGAAGGCAGCCUGCUGGGCCGCAACUGACGCUGAAGCUCGAAGGUGCGGGUAUCAAACAGGAUUAGAUACCCUGGUA